UUUUGCAGCGGAGCGUUGGAGCCUAAUGCCAGCCUAGAUGCUUUCUUCAGGGAGAGCUCAAAUUAAAUUUUGUAGAAUCGGCUUGAACGUUGGAAGAGCUUGCCGUUGGAACAUUGGAGCCUAGCCGUUGGGAGAUUCAUGCAUGUCUAUAAAAUCGGGACAAGAGAAUUUGUUUAGAGAGCUUGAACGUUAGAAGAGCUUACCGCGGGAACGUUGGAGCCUCAGGCCAGCUGGACUAGCCGUUGGAGAUUCAUACAUUUGAAGCCAUGGUCUGUAAAAUCAGGGCAAGAGAGGGUAAGAGGAUUUGUGGUAGGGACUGGUAGUGGAACUGAGAUACAUACAUUUGAAGCCACGGCCUAUAAAAUCAGGGCAAGAGAGGGAGAUAUGAUUUGUGGUAGGGACUGGCGGUGGGGCUGAGAUUCAUAGAUUUGAAGUCAUGGCCUAUAAAAUCAGGGCAAGAGAGGGAGAGAGGAUUUGUGGUAGGAAAUGGCAAUGGGAAUGAGGAGUGUUGGGUAAUUGGGAAGAAGGUGCUUACAGAAUGGUUUAUCUCUUUUGAAAGAUUUAAACUAAGUCCCAACGUGUAAUGUAACUCUUGGUUCGUGGUUAAAAGGGCUUGACAGUGAGCUGGUUGUGAUCGAUCAGACUCAGAUGAUUUAAAAGUGAGGAUCACAGUAUGUAGUCUAGGAUCAGGCAGGAGAUGCAGAUAAUGAAUAAGUAGCUAUAAUGCAUUCGUCUGAGUUCAACGAUUAUUUGCUCCAUUAUGCAGAGGAAUACAAAUGGCACCUGAAUGCUCUGCACAGGUUUGACAAGUAUACCAUAUCAAUUAGGCAUUUGCAAAGUAUCCAGAUAUAUGGAAUGUGCAAUGUGCAAUGUGCAAAUUAUAACUGAAUGGAAUUAUGCCCAGUUAUAAUUUGCACAUUCCUCAAUGCUCUGCACAGGUCUGACUAGUAUACUAUAUUUCAUGUCUUCGUACCUUCAUUCAUUGGUGGUCAAAUAAUAUCGUAUAUUGUAAACUAUUUUUAUUUUCUAUGAAAAGAGAAAUUACAUAACUUUUUCUAAUGAAUAUUAAUUUUAGAGUAUUU